CGAUGACAAAGACCACCAUCUGUUCCCUUCCUUGUGGGUUCUUGUCAGCCUCGCUGGGAGCUGGUGGGGACCCUAGACUCCCCACCAUGGACCCACCAGGGCCCCCAUCAUGGACCCAGCAGGGUCCCCAGCAAGGGACACACCAGGGGGCCAACCAUGGACUCAUCACAGUCCCUACCGUGGACCUACCAUGGACCUACCAUGGACCUACCAUGGACCUACCAUGGACCUACCAUGGACCUAACAUGGACCUAACAUGGACCUACCAUUGACCUAACAUGGACCUACCAUGGCUUGCAUUCCUGGAAGCCAGGAAUGCCUUUCAGAGUUCACAGUGAACACAAAUGUGAGAGGAUAAGGUGUAAAGAAGAAGGAGAAGAAGGAGAAGAAGGAGGAGGAGUAGUAGAAGAAGCAGAAUUUAGUUUUGUUUGUUGGCUGGAAGGACCGAUACCUACCAGCAUGUUACAGAGUCAUGCGGGGGCCCUCCCUCUACCCACACCUGUUCAUCCUGAGCUGACCGCGCCCCAGCCGCCGCCCAGCGUCCGUCUGUCAGUCCUCUGACAGCCCGCCCAUCUGUGACCCCUGGAGGUCGACAGAACAAGAAGCAACUUUUUGGUCGGAAAAAUACAGAUCGUUCAAUCUUUUUAUUUAUGUUUUGUAAAAUAUUUAUUUUGAAAAUUACAAAUAAUAAGCGAUUACGGUUGAAUUGUUCCUCUGAAAUAAAAUGUGUGCUGAAUAUCCAGCAUGCGUUUAGCAUAGGCGGAAUGAAAACGGGAGAUGACAUGAAAACCUUUUGAAAAUAUUCAUGGUUGUAAAUAGGAA
ensembl:lncRNA